GUUUACACAAACACACACACAUAUUUAUUUAUCUGAAAUAAUCAUCAAAUAAAUAAAUAUGUGUGUGUGUGUUUGUGUAAAC
rnacentral:miRNA from 1 species